rnacentral:rRNA from 1 species
GACGUAGGGCGCGAGCGUUGUCCGGAAUUACUGGGCGUAAAGGGCUCGUAGGUCGGCCAACUAAGUCAGACGUGAAAUCCCUCGGCUUAACCGGGGAACUGCGUCUGAUACUGGAUGGCUUGAGUCCGGAAGAGGAGAGUGGAAUUCCAGGUGUAGCGGUGAAAUGCGCAGAUAUCGGGAAGAACACCCGUGGCUAAGGCGGCUCUCUAGUACGGUACUGACGCUGAGACGCGAAAGCGUGGGGAGCGAACAGG